rnacentral:ncRNA from 1 species
CGUUUGGGGAAGCGAUCUCCCCUUCAGGCGACAUGCCCAAGCAUCGCGUCCAGCUUCGCUCGCCGAGGACGCUCCAUG